CAAUAAGCGGAGGAAAAGAAACCAACAGGGAUUGCCCCAGUAACGGCGAGUGAAGCGGCAAGAGCUCAAAUUUGAAAUCUGGCCUCCCCCGGGGGCCCGAGUUGUAAUUUGCAGAGGAUGCUUCGGGUGCGGCCGCCGUCUAAGUUCCUUGGAACAGGACGUCAGAGAGGGUGAGAAUCCCGUCUUGGGCGGGCGGUCCGCGCCCGUGUGAAGCUCCUUCGACGAGUCGAGUUGUUUGGGAAUGCAGCUCUAAGCGGGUGGUAAAUUUCAUCUAAAGCUAAAUAUUGGCCGGAGACCGAUAGCGCACAAGUAGAGUGAUCGAAAGGUUAAAAGCACCUUGAAAAGGGAGUUAAACAGCACGUGAAAUUGUUGAAAGGGAAGCGCUUGCGGCCAGACUCGGGGGCGGGGUUCAGCGGGUGCUCGUCGCCCGUGUAUUCCUCGUCUCCCGGGCCAGCAUCAGUUUCGACGGCCGGUCAAAGGCCCCCGGAAUGUGUCGUCUCUCGGGACGUCUUAUAGCCGGGGGUGCAAUGCGGCCCGUCGGGACUGAGGAACGCGCUCCGGCUCGGAUGCUGGCGUAAUGGCCGUAAGCGGCCGUCUUGAAACAC
rnacentral:rRNA from 1 species